rnacentral:lncRNA from 1 species
CGGCUUCUUUCUUGAAGUCAGUGAGACCAAGAACCCACCAAUUCCGGACACAUCAUGAUGUGAUCACCUCCCAAGUGCCCUACCUCCUAACACCAUCACAUUGUGAUUAGAAUUUCAACAGAUGAAUUUAGGAGGACACAAACAUUCAGUCCAUAGCACAGAAGCUGAGGUAUGACAAGAAUGGGAGGCCCCAAGCCGAGCAUGGUGGCUCACGCCUGUAAUUCCAGCACUUUGGGAGGCCGAG